UCUCUGAUACGACUUGUAAGGCAUGUGAUGGUUUAAACCCUCAGUGUGCUUUAACCAGCCAGCUGUCAUGAAUGAGUCCACAGAAAGAGGAGAGGAGAGCACUGAGGCCAUUUUUCUCAUCUUUUUUAAAAGCGCUGGGGCCCACCCAGAUCCUAUACGUGAGCAUGGCCGUGUUUGCUCUGCCCUCCGAGUGCAGAGUAGGUUUGGCUGCUGCCAUGGAAGUGAAAGAGGAGGGGAGGGGCAGGCUCACUUCUACACUUACUAAGCCCACUCACACAUGAACUGCUCCGUCAGUGCUGAAGAGCAGCCAAUGAAAAGGGAGAAGGUAAUCGAUGGAGCAGAGACGAAUGAAUGUAGGCUACGACAGCUGUCCCAAGGAGGCCAGGGCGUACAACAUGCUUCAGGCUGAAGGCGGGUGAUUGCACAGGGUGGAAGAUGUAGGAGGAUGACUGCCAAACCCUAUGCAAGUUGUCAGCAUGCUAAAUAGGUUAGGUGACCCACAGUACUGCUGACUCUAGCCUUGGACUUUGAGUUCUGACAGUUUUACAGGUGGGACAAAGGACUCACCCUUCCCCGCUUUAACUUUAUAUACAGUUGUAUACUGCAGACAGAUCUGUUGAAUCUUUGAUUGUAGUGUUUGCCUAAUAAAAUAAAAUAAAAUUC